GCUGGAUGUGGCUAAGUCCAUGGAUGGUGAUGUAUCUAUGCCAAUGGCCAGCAUUAAUUUCUGCUUUUGGUGGCGCUGGAGGAUCUGCCGAUGACGCGGGAGGAAGACUUGAAGAUUGCCGAUUGGUGUAUGGUGGCAUCCCAGGCUGUUACAGGAAGAUAGUUUUAUGCUUUUUUUUCUUAGUCAUUUAAAAUCGUUUUGUAUAUGGAUUCUAUUUAAUUUGGAAUUUGAGUUCUAGUCGUGUCUGGUUGUAGCUCUUUUGAGCAGGGUAUAAAUGUAGACCCUAGGGCCUUGUAAUCGAGACAUCUAUCAAUCAAUCAAACACAAGUUUUUACUCAUAUUACAGCAUCUACUUUUUCGACGACUUCGUCAUACCUUUUCUUUUUUAUUACG
rnacentral:lncRNA from 1 species